CUACGUGCCAGCAGCCGCGGUAAUACGGAAGGUUCGGGCGUUAUCCGGAUUUAUUGGGUUUAAAGGGAGCGUAGGCCGGAGAUUAAGUGUGUUGCGAAAUGUAGACGCUCAACGUCUGACUUGCAGCGCAUACUGGUUUCCUUGAGUACGCACAACGUUGGCGGAAUUCGUCGUGUAGCGGUGAAAUGCCUAGAUAUGACGAAGAACUCCGAUUGCGAAGGCAGCUGACGGGAGCGCAACUGACGCUGAAGCUCGAAGGUGCGGGUAUCGAACAGGAUUAGAUACCCUGGUAGUCCGCACAGUAAACGAUGGAUGCCCGCUGUUGGUACCUGGUAUCAGCGGCUAAGCGAAAGCAUUAAGCAUCCCACCUGGGGAGUACGCCGGCAACGGUGAAACUCAAAGGAAUUGACGGGGGCCCGCACAAGCGGAGGAACAUGUGGUUUAAUUCGAUGAUACGCGAGGAACCUUACCCGGGCUUGAA
rnacentral:rRNA from 1 species